CCUACGGGAGGCAGCAGUGGGGGAUAUUGCACAAUGGGGGAAACCCUGAUGCAGCGACGCCGCGUGUGGGAAGACGGUCCUCUGGAUUGUAAACCACUGUCCCCAGGGACGAAGAUGACGGUACCUGGGGAGGAAGCUCCGGCUAACUACGUGCCAGCAGCCGCGGUAAGACGUAGGGAGCGAGCGUUGUCCGGAAUUACGGGGUGUAAGGGGAGCGUAGGCGGGGAUGCAAGUGGGGUGUCAAAACUACCGGCUCAACUGGUAGUCGCACUCAAAACUGCAGCUCUUGAGUGAAGUAGAGGCAGGCGGAAUUCCUCGUGUAGCGGUGAAAUGCGUAGAUAUUAGGAGGACCACCAGUGGCGAAGGCGGCCUGCUGGGCUUUUCCUGACGCUGAGGCUCGAAAGUGUGGGGAGCAAACAGGAUUAGAUACCCCAGUAGUC
rnacentral:rRNA from 1 species